GGGCGGCAUGACUCUCACACGCAUUCAAAAGGCAUUUGCACAGUUGGCUGCUGCUGCCAAAUGACCUGGACACCAAGUGUCCCUGUCAGUCCACCGGAGCCAUGGCAUCGCUUAUGAUCCCGUGUUUGCUAUUGCCUCAGCAUCCUGUUGCUGUGGGGGAGUACGUGCUGAAGGCCCUGAAGAAACCACCAUAUCUGCCUGAAGCUAGCAGUCUCUGUGGAAAUGGCUGGACUCUUCGGAAAAACUGCGUACUCCUCCCUCGAAAAAGGAACUGAAAGGAACUGCAAGGGAUUGAAAAUCAGCGCUUGGAACUGGGACUUUGUCAUCGUCUGUCUGCUGGAACCUGGAACUUGGACCUCCAUCACCUGCACCGAGACCGAGCCAACGGGACGUUGCUGGCUUCGUGGUCGUGGUAACUAGUCUUGCUGCAUCUCUUCCGUUCUCUUGCUUAGGCCUGCCUCUUUUUCCUUUCUUCUUCCCUCUGUCCUGUCGCUAUUAUCAGUUGUUAUAGGAAAUAAAACUUGUAAGGUUGUACGGCA